UGUUGCUGGCUCUCUAGGGAGCAUGUGCACGCCUUGUCAUCUUUAUANNNNNNNNNGUGCACCUUUUGUAGACCUUUCGGGGUCUAUGUUGCUUCAUUUUUCCACAAUGUAUGUUAAUAGAAUGUUGUGCCCUGUAUAAUAUAUACAACUUUCAGCAACGGAUCUCUUGGCUCUCGCAUCGAUGAAGAACGCAGCGAAAUGCGAUAAGUAAUGUGAAUUGCAGAAUUCAGUGAAUCAUCGAAUCUUUGAACGCACCUUGCGCUCCUUGGUAUUCCGAGGAGCAUGCCUGUUUGAGUGUCAUUAAUAUACAUAUAUCAAGCCUUCUCUUGUAGAAGGGUUUGGAUGUGGGGGUUUGCUGGCCUCUUAAUCUUAAGAGUUCAGCUCUCCUGAAAUGCAUUAGCAGAACAACCUUAUGUUCAUUGGUGUGAUAACUAUCUACGCUAUUGAAUGUGAGGGGGAAGUUCAGCUUUCUAACGGUCCCUUGGACAACUCAUCAUUAAUGUGACCUCAAAUCAGGUAGGACUACCCGCUGAACUUAAGCAUAUCAAUA
rnacentral:rRNA from 1 species